GUGAGGAAUAUUGGACAAUGGGCGCAAGCCUGAUCCAGCCAUGCCGCGUGCAGGAAGACGCAUCUAUGGUGUGUAAACUGCUUUUGUACGGGAAGAAACACUCCCUCGUGAGGGAGCUUGACGGUACCGUAAGAAUAAGGAUCGGCUAACUCCGUGCCAGCAGCCGCGGUAAUACGGAGGAUCCAAGCGUUAUCCGGAAUCAUUGGGUUUAAAGGGUCCGUAGGCGGUUUAAUAAGUCAGUGGUGAAAGCCCAUCGCUCAACGAUGGAACGGCCAUUGAUACUGUUAGACUUGAAUUACAAGGAAGUAACUAGAAUAUGUAGUGUAGCGGUGAAAUGCUUAGAUAUUACAUGGAAUACCAAUUGCGAAGGCAGGUUACUACUUGUGGAUUGACGCUGAUGGACGAAAGCGUGGGGAGCGAACAGGAUUAGAUACCCUAGUAGCC
rnacentral:rRNA from 1 species